rnacentral:tmRNA from 1 species
GCCCUUUCGUUCAGGCGCCGGAAGCCCUAUAUCAGGGGUGCCACCCAGCAAUGGGCGGCUAUGGUGAUAAAAUGCCAUCGUAAUAAACCUUUCGGACCCGGGGGCAGUACCCGGCGCCUCCACCAAAGAUUGCACGAAAUGCAAGCUUUGAUGGGGGCGAACUAGGAUCGACGAGGGUGUAAAGGAUGGAGCUUUGCCCGUGAUGGUUCCGACGUUAUCGGGCUAAACAAGUAGUUGCAAAUGACAACUAUGCUCCGGUACGUCUCGCUGCUUAAUGCAGUGCGAAUGCCGAAAUCAAAGUCCUAAGGCUUAGCAGUUUUAGGCGGGGUCCGCCGGCACCUGGCAACAGAAGCCGGCACU